UACGAAGGGGGGCUAGCGUUGUUCGGAAUCACUGGGCGUAAAGGGCGCGUAGGCGGCCGAUCAAGUCGGGGGUGAAAGCCUGUGGCUCAACCACAGAAUUGCCUUCGAUACUGUUUGGCUUGAGACCGGAAGAGGUAAGUGGAACUGCGAGUGUAGAGGUGAAAUUCGUAGAUAUUCGCAAGAACACCAGUGGCGAAGGCGGCU
rnacentral:rRNA from 1 species